ACGCUCGACACCUACGGGAGCAGCAGUGAGGAAUAUUGGUCAAUGGGCGCUAGCCUGAACCAGCCAAGUAGCGUGAAGGAUGAAGGCUCUAUGGGUCGUAAACUUCUUUUAUAUAAGAAUAAAGUGCAGUAUGUAUACUGUUUUGUAUGUAUUAUAUGAAUAAGGAUCGGCUAACUCCGUGCCAUCAGCCGCGGUAAUCUGAGCGGGCUGGCAAGGC
rnacentral:rRNA from 1 species